GGAAUUUUCGUCAAUGGGGGAAACCCUGAACGAGCAACGCCGCGUGGAGGAUGACGGUCUUCGGAUUGUAAACUCCUUUUGUGAGGGACGAUAAUGACGGUACCUCGCGAAUAAGCCCCGGCUAACUCUGUGCCAGCAGCCGCGGUAAUACAGAGGGGGCAAGCGUUGUCCGGAGUUACUGGGCGUAAAGCGCACGUAGGCGGUCCUGCAAGUGGUGUGUGAAACCAAUCAGCUUAACUGAUUGACGCCAUGCCAAACUGCAGGACUCGAGUCAUGGAGAGGUAGUUCGAAUUGCUGGUGUAGUGGUGAAAUGCGUAGAUAUCAGCAGGAAGACCAAGGGAGAAAUCAGACUACUGGCCAUGAACUGACGCUCAGGUGCGAAAGCGUGGGGAGCGAACUGGAUUAGAUACCCAGGUAGUCCACGCCGUAAACGAUGUAUGCUCGGUAUUUGGGCCUGUUAAGGGCUUGGGUACCUCAGGUAACCCGGUAAGCAUACCGCCUGGGAAGUACGAACGCAAGUUUAAAACUCAAAUGAAUUGACGG
rnacentral:rRNA from 1 species